AAUAAGGAGCUCCUGCCCUAUC
rnacentral:piRNA from 1 species